GACGAACGCUGGCGGCGUGCUUAACACAUGCAAGUCGAACGGAAAGGCCCCUUUGGGGGUACUCGAGUGGCGAACGGGUGAGUAACACGUGAGUAACCUGCCCUUGACUUCGGGAUAACUUCAGGAAACUGGGGCUAAUACCGGAUAGGAAUCCUUGCUGCAUGGUGGGGGUUGGAAAGCUUCGGCGGUUUUGGAUGGACUCGCGGCUUAUCGGCUUGUUGGUGGGGUAGUGGCUUACCAAGGCUUUGACGGGUAGCCGGCCUGAGAGGGCGACCGGCCACAUUGGGACUGAGGGACGGCCCAGACUCCUACGGGAGGCAGCAGUGGGGAAUAUUGCACAAUGGGCGGAAGCCUGAUGCAGCAACGCCGCGGGCGGGAUGACGGCCUUCGGGUGGUAAACCGCUUUCAGCAGGGGCGAAGCUUGUGGUGACAGUACCUGCAGAAGAAGCACCGGCUAACUACGUG
rnacentral:rRNA from 1 species